rnacentral:lncRNA from 1 species
AGAUUGAGAGAUCUAUUGAAGAAUUAAGACAAUCUAAAGAAGAGAAGGCCAAAGCUGGGAAAAAUGUAGAAGAUGGAGCAGCUGGUCUGUAAAGAAGUUCUCAAGAGCUUUCUAAGAGUUUGGAAGAGCACGAAAAGGAGUACCAAGUAAGAAUUCUAAAAAUACUGGGUACAUACACACACACACACACGUAUGUACGUGUGUGUGUGUGUGUGUGUAUAUACAUAUGUGUGUGUGCGCGCCGAAAAUGGAACAUUCUUGUUUGACUAAUAUGAUUUCGUAACAUAUAGGUAAGUCUUACUAUAGGGUGUACUAGCUGUAAGAGCAGUGGAAAUGAAGACAAGUGCCUUGAAGAUCAAUUAGGUGAUGCUAAGAUAGAAGUUGGAAGAACGGAGACUGAAUUAAAGCAGUUGGAGACAAGAAUAAUUCAUUGCGAGAAAUAGCGGAAGGAGAAAAGCGGUUCUGACUUUGAAUUUUGUUUUAUUGCUUUGUAACUGAACUUUCAGCAGUCAUCGUUUUGCCUUUUGCACCAGACACUGGAAAGUUCAAAAAUCAUCAUAUAAUAAUCCAAAAAUUGCAAUAGAAAAG